rnacentral:rRNA from 1 species
UUGGAGGGCAAGUCUGGUGCCAGCAGCCGCGGUAAUUCCAGCUCCAAUAGCGUAUAUUAAAGUUGUUGUGGUUAAAAAGCUCGUAGUUGAACCUUGGGCCUGGCUGGCCGGUCCGCCUCACCGCGUGUACUGGUCCGGCCGGGCCUUUCCCUCUGUGGAACCCCAUGCCCUUCACCGGGUGUGGCGGGGAAACAGGACUUUUACUGUGAAAAAAUUAGAGUGCUCCAGGCAGGCCUAUGCUCGAAUACAUUAGCAUGGAAUAAUAGAAUAGGACGUGUGG